rnacentral:lncRNA from 1 species
GAACAGCAAGCUCUACCAAAGCAAGGUCUCCUCUGCUUCCUCAGACUGCCGACCAGUGCUGAGAACAGGGACACUGAAUAUCUGUGAGCUGAGCGCAUCCAGCCAUCAACUGACUCACUCACUGAAGAACGCUACAUUCUGGGCAUAUCUUCCAUGACAGUCCAGCAGGGUAGCUGUUGGAAAUCCAAACAUGUCCACUCCUGCUUACGACCUCAGUCACCACCUCUUCAUAUGAUUCUUCCAUGGGCUGUUCCUGAGCACCUGAGGGAGAAAAACAAACAGAAACAAACAGGAAAGGGCAGAAUAAUUGAUAUGUGAGAAGGAAAAAGUCAACAGUUGUUGAGACAUAAGUGAAUGCUGGAGUACAGUGACUCAAUUACAGCUUGCUGUGACUUUGAACUCCUGGACUCAACGGAUCCUCCCACUUCAGCCUCCCAAAUAACUAGGACUACAGCACCUGGUUCUUCUUGACAACUGCACAUUCUGCUACAUGCUGUGAUGACCAGGAGAAUCAUUUAAAUUUUUAUUUGGAGGACUCACUUCCAACUUGGAACACAAGCUGCAAAGGAAUUCCCUACCAGCAUGCCAGCACAUCAUUUGGAAGUUCAAGGUAUUCUUGCUCAACAGCUGCACACACAUUAAAAGUCCCUGGGGUACAUGGCGCCUGCUGCCUGGGGUUGGACUCUGUCGCCGGGGAUUCCAGAAAUUAGAGUAGAAUUCACAGCUCUGCCUCUCCACCUGCUGUGAGGUCUUCAAGUUACAACUCCGCCGCCUAUCAGGGACCUCCGUGAUUAGUAAGGGAGAAAUUGUCAUAUUUUUCUCCCUAGAUCACAGGUCUGAGGAAGCAGUUUCCCCAAGAUUUUGUAAAAGUGGCUUUAUAAUUAAAAACAUUGAUUUUCCUAUUAGAAAGGCUACUAUAUCCUUUGGAAAAAGCUUAGAAGUAGUCCGUGAGUCUUGGCUUCUUGCCGUGGCUCCCCCAGGAUAUGAUCUUGGGCGAGUAACCCAGCAGCCCUGACUCUGCUUCCCCACUUAUUAAACAGGUUACUAACACUGUCCUAUCAGGUAGGACAAUGAGAAGGAAAGAACCAAACAAGAGGAGUAUCAGACGAGACCACCAGACUUAAGAUCUAAAAUCCGGCGUCCUCUGGAGGGCGGAUGAGAAGAGGGGUACACUUGGCGGUCUGGAAAAUGUCCUGGGGCCAGUUUCAGGUUUAGGAGCUUGUGGGUAGCGUGGUUUCCCACACGCUGCCUGGCUUCCUACUCUCCCCCGCAGGGGCUGCCUCUCCUCCCACCCCGGAAGGCCGGCACCGGCUUCCCGCACUCGCUGAAGCCCGCACGGAGGCCGGGUGAGCCUGCCGCGGCCUCCCCCUCCCACGCCCCGACGCCAUGGGCCCUGCUCCUCUCCGCAGACGCUGCCCUCCCGCCUCAGGCCCCGGGCCCCGGGCACCGGGCCCGCCCUGCGUCCUGAACCUCGGCAUCCCGCUCUCCGGUCCACGGGACCCUGCUCUGCGGACCGCCGACCUCUCCGCUCGCGGCUGGCCUCCCUCGGGGCCCGGGCCGGCCAGGCCUGCUCAUUUCCUUGGCGGCCGCUGGCAUAAGGCGGCCACACGGAGGGCCCGGGACAGCGGUCUGAUGGCGCAGCCCCGCCUUGCCCCGGCGCUCUGACCCGGCCAGCGGCCUCACUCACCGCAGCGGCGCGUGCCCGCAGACAAAGGCCGGCGCCGAGCCCGCAGCAGCGCCAGCGCCGGCGCCGGCGGAAUGGACUACAACUCCCAGGAGUCUCCCCGCGAGCCCGCCCGCCGGGCCGUGGGUCUCGGCGGCCCCGGCUUCCCAAGAGCUCUGUGGGAAAUGUAGUUCUCUGGCGCGCCCUGCGCUCGGGCCCCGCAGGUCCCUAGGGCGCGGGGACCUCAAGCCGUCCCGUUUGGACUGGUAAUCCGGAGACUCACAGCGGUGACCUGUCAGCGGACGCGGAGCCGGGACGGAGCCACGGCCGCUCAGAUUAGCAGGAUCUGAUUGACAGCAUCGGGGUAGCAGACGCUGAGCCAGGGACUCAGGAAUACAGGGUUCUUGCAGGGCGUCGCGGAAGGAAACGAAGUUUUUGGGAGAAAUCCGUUUGAUAAAGCCUUGGCGGCUUCGAGGUCAUGUGUUGAGCCUCUGGCUGCAUGAACAAAAGCGAAGCCCGCUUUCAUGGAGCUUCUGUGAAGAGCAACAGGAACACAGGCAGUCCAGUCGUCCUGAGAUACUGGGAGGAGCAUGGUUGCUUUUGAACACGUAGGAGAUAAAGCCUCUCUAAUAAUGCCUGUUUUUUUUUUUCCUUCACUCUGUCUCCCAGGCUUGAGUGCAGUGGCACGGUGUCGCCUCACUGCAACCUCCGCCUUCUGGGCUCAAGUGAUUCUCCUGCCCCAGCCUCCCAAGUAGCUGGGACUACAGGUCUGUGCCACCAUGCCUGGCUAAUUUUUUUGUAUUUUUAGUAGAGAUGAAGGUUUUACCAUGUUGGCCAGGCUGUCUGAUAUGCCUUAAGCCUCUUUUAAACGCACUUUUCCAGGAUCGGGGCCACAUCCUGGAGCUGUUCUGCCUGGCCGGGUGUAUCUCUGGGUCCCUGCCUCUGGAGCCCCUCUCCGUAGAUGUGUCUGUCCAUCCUCUUUCGUGAAGGACUAAUAAAGAAUGCUUCCUCUUGC